GACGAACGCUGGCGGCGUGCUUAACACAUGCAAGUCGAACGAUGAACCCGGAGCUUGCUCCGGCGGAUUAGUGGCGAACGGGUGAGUAACACGUGAGUAACCUGCCCUUGACUCUGGGAUAACUGCUAGAAAUGGUAGCUAAUACCGGAUACGACCCUCGGUGGCAUCACCAGGGGGUGGAAAGAAUUUCGGUCAAGGAUGGACUCGCGGCCUAUCAGCUAGUUGGUGAGGUAACGGCUCACCAAGGCGACGACGGGUAGCCGGCCUGAGAGGGUGACCGGCCACACUGGGACUGAGACACGGCCCAGACUCCCACGGGAGGCAGCAGUGGGGAAUAUUGCACAAUGGGCGCAAGCCUGAUGCAGCAACGCCGCGUGAGGGAUGACGGCCUUCGGGUUGUAAACCUCUUUUAGUAGGGAAGAAGCGAAAGUGACGGUACCUGCGGAAAAAGCACCGGCUAACUACGUGCCAGCAGCCGCGGUAA
rnacentral:rRNA from 1 species